rnacentral:rRNA from 1 species
UACGGAGGGUGCAAGCGUUAUCCGGAAUCAUUGGGUUUAAAGGGUCCGCAGGCGGAUUAAUAAGUCAGUGGUGAAAUCCUCCCGCUUAACGGGAGAACUGCCAUUGAUACUGUUAGUCUUGAAUUCGGUCGAAGUGGGCGGAAUGUGUCAUGUAGCGGUGAAAUGCAUAGAUAUGACACAAAACACCGAUAGCGAAGGCAGCUCACUAGGCCUGGAUUGACGCUCAGGGACGAAAGCGUGGGGAGCGAACAGG